rnacentral:misc_RNA from 1 species
CGUGGGCACUUUUUGCACGUGUCUUUGCGUGCUGCCUCUGUCUGUCGGGCGCGCACUUCGACCAGCAUCUUUACGACCGCCCCAUUCAACAAACCAUGUGAGGAUGAUGAUGACGAGGGUCGACACUGUGAGGGGGGGGGCUGCAGAGGAGAAGCGGCAGCAGCGGCAGCGAGGUUGCCGGUCUGCAGCACAUCCGGGGGCAUGCGGACGCCCUUGCUCACCUAACAAACGCUCUUGUGGGCACUGAGGAGUUUGCAGACGGCACCUGCCACUUGCGGUGUGGGAUGGACACGGCCGAUGUAACGCCUCAUCAUCGGCGCUGCCUUUUGUUGCUUCUCUCUCUCUCCUACCUACUCGGUUGGACUGCUAUGGGCAGCGUAUAUGGGUGCACGGGCGCCUGCGUGACUCUCAAUCUGCAGAACACCCACACGCGCACCUACGCACAUACACGUGACAACGCGCUAGUCCCGGUGUUCUCUCCUUCCACUCUGCCCCAGCCUUCUCCUUUCGCACCUCAUCACACUGAACUUGUGUGUCACGCUCUCGUAUUGCCAUGGAACGCGCUUCUCACACGUCCAUACACUGAACUCCUCGGAUCCACAUCCACAUCCCAUGCUACUCCCUCUCUCCACGCACACGCAAACCGUUGCACAUACACACAAAUAUGCGCAUGCAAAUAG